AAUUCUUCUUUUUUGUAAAAUAAAGAUUUUGAAAAUCUUUUUAGAAUUAAAUAAUUCACAAAAAA
rnacentral:tRNA from 1 species